AGGCCAUCGCCGGCCUUUUGGCUAAGAUCAAGUGUAGUAUCUGUUCUUAUCAGUUUAAUAUCUGAUACGCCCCGAUUCGGGGCAACGUGACAAACGCAUUUUUAGAACAGGGAGCUGAAUAAAGGGCUCGCUCCGUUCGCUCCACGCAUCGACCCGGUAUUGCAGCGCCCGGGAACGGUGCCCCUUUG